rnacentral:rRNA from 1 species
UGGCUCAGGACGAACGCUGGCGGCGUGCCUAAUACAUGCAAGUCGAACGGUCUUUCUAUGGAAGCUUGCUUCCACUGAGAAGAUAGUGGCGAACGGGUGAGUAACACGUGGGUAACCUGCCCAUAAGAGGGGGGAUAACAUCCGGAAACGGGUGCUAAUACCGCAUAGUUUUCUUGAUCGCAUGAUCGGGAAAGGAAAGACGGCCUUUGUGCUGUCGCUUAUGGAUGGACCCGCGGCGUAUUAGUUAGUUGGUGAGGUAACGGCUCACCAAGACGAUGAUACGUAGCCGACCUGAGAGGGUGAUCGGCCACAUUGGGACUGAGACACGGCCCAAACUCCUACGGGAGGCAGCAGUAGGGAAUCUUCCGCAAUGGACGAAAGUCUGACGGAGCAACGCCGCGUGAGUGAAGAAAGGUUUUCGGAUCGUAAAACUCUGUUGUCAGAGAAGAACAAGUUGGAGAGUAACUGCUCCAGCCUUGACGGUAUCUGACCAGAAAGCCACGGCUAACUACGUGCCAGCCGCCGC